rnacentral:rRNA from 1 species
UGCGUAGGCGGGCUAAUAAGUCAGUGGUGAAAUCUCUCGGCUCAACCGGGAAACUGCCAUUGAUACUGUUAGUCUUGAGUUCGGUUGAGGUAGGCGGAAUGUGUAAUGUAGCGGUGAAAUGCUUAGAUAUUACACAGAACACCAAUUGCGUAGGCAGCCUACUAGACCGACACUGACGCUGAGGCACGAAAGCGUGGGGAGCGAACAGGAUUAGAUACCCUGGUAGUC